rnacentral:lncRNA from 1 species
UCUAAGGUUUCUUCGUAACAGUGUUUGUCUGUUGUACAACCUCUUGUAUAACGAGUUACUCUUGCAUCAUCGUAGUAAGUGUCAACUGCCUAGAAUCCAAAUCAAAGUCCAUAGUGAAUUAUGGGAUUGGAUUAAGGGAGCGCUAAACUUCAACUUUGGAUGGAUAUUAACUUACGCUGUAUCAAAGAAUCCAAGGAACGUUGAGACUCAAGGAUCAGUUUUCUGUCACGACAACCAUCGUCUUUGGUAAUAUAUGACAGCACAAGCAUCCAAGAAAUGGGACGCCAUUCAUCAAAAGGAAAACCGGAAAGAAUCACGAAGACCCUGGCAGGCUUGAAGCGAGUCAGUGCAUCCCUUGGUGUAACCAAGUUUCGAUCUGCCUGUGUACGAAAUCAUGACGAUGUUUCCUUUAAAGCAAUACGCUUUUCCUGAGUUUUGCUUGCAUGUUUUUAACGAGGAGCGAUCCUGGCAUCUUUCGAAUGAGACGUCAGAUAGGCAUUCGUAGCAUUUCGGAUACACUGAAAUGAAAAAUNCAAGGAAAUGCAGAAUCAAAAGAAGAGAAAAAAAUGGAAAAGGAAAAAAAAACAACGACAAAUAAUUGAUGAUUGGAGUAGCUGGAAGGAGGGNUUAUGCACUGGGUGCGAAGUAGUUCGGUAACGAUCAAGAAAUCGUUGAAUUAGAGCGCCACUUACAAUACAAUAGGUACUACCAACCAAUAAGCCACAAUAAGCAGUCAAGUAAGCCAUUUAGCUAUCAAUCAAAUGAAUCAAUGAAUCAAUGAAUCAAUCAAGCAAGAAACCAAGCAAGCAAGACUAGUGAAACCAACCAACCAACCAACCAACCAACCAACCAAACAACCAACCAACCAACCAUUGACAGCCAACCAACCAGUGAUAAUAUAGAACUCAGAUUAGAAUGAUUUUCUUACUUUGGCGAUGCAAAGAGGGUUUGGUGCUUGUUUGCACCGCUCACUACGCUGACACCCACUGAAUGUCACUGCAGUUAUGACGCCUGCUUGUUCCUGAAUAGUUGUAGUCUUAAAACAGCUAUACCCUUUAUCUGCGUCUANUGGGCACUCCUCGGUGUUUGUACAGCUUUCCGUUCCGUUACAAGAAAAGCACCUCAAAGCAGAUGUUUUCCCUGGAUAGAUAUAGCGAUAAUUAUCGUAUUCAUUAGUUUAUUAUUGAUGGGAUACCCGUACGACUUUACAACAACUUGGAAAGGAAUAUCCCCCAAGGUGUUAACUGAAAGUGUGAUCAUGACGAAUAAUCAUCUUCGAACGCACAAAGGUUAAGAACUACAAAGUCUUAUUUAUGGUCACAGGUUGUCCGUGACCACCUCUGUGCCGAAGUGAUAAUUUUGUACCUGUAAUAUUCAUACAGCAAUUUUUGCGAGCAUGAAAAUUUGCAUUUUAAAUACUAUACUAUCAUGAAUAGGAAGAUUUUAAACCAGGGCUUGUAGUUCUUGUACCCAGAAGGUAGGAUGGAGCCUGACAUUUUUGAUAGACAGCUUUCACACAACAUUGAAAAAUACAUAAAUCCCUUUGGGACGGAAAGAAGCAAUGUAAAUUAGUAAAAAGUAAAAGUAUAUCGGAAACGUUUUGGGACAGACAGCAAAAUUUAUCGAAACCUGAGAGCCUACCAAUCUAUCAUCAAUACCAUUAUGCUGGUUAAUUACGUAUAUACUUGUUUUCGUUAUAGAUACCAGUAGUUUUAGAUGACGAAUAUCAUAGAAACAAACCAUACUAUCUUACCAAUA